CAAAAAGACCGCGAAACCGUUAGGAGGGAAACGAAUGCGGCUGAAGUGGCUCCCCGUCAGGCUCAGGAGAGGUGGGAGGGUCCGGAGGCUGCGCGGUUGCUCGCCGCGCGUGUCGCCCGGUCGCCCUCUUACCGAUCUGCACUUCUGCGGGGAGCCGGCCAACGGCGGUCGCUCCCGGCCCAAGAGGGCGUCGUUUGGGAAGGUGCCUCCGCGUUCGCGUGGAGAGCUUACAGCCCGGCGUCUGGACGUUCCGGGAGGCGACCGAG
rnacentral:sRNA from 1 species